rnacentral:rRNA from 1 species
GACGAACGCUGGCGGCGUGCCUAAUACAUGCAAGUCGAACGCUGAAGAGAGGAGCUUGCUCUUCUUGGCUGAGUUGCGAACGGGUGAGUAACGCGUAGGUAACCUGCCUUGUAGCGGGGGAUAACUAUUGGAAACGAUAGCUAAUACCGCAUAACAAUGGAUGACCCAUGUCAUUUAUUUGAAAGGGGCAAAUGCUCCACUACAAGAUGGACCUGCGUUGUAUUAGCUAGUAGGUGAGGUAACGGCUCACCUAGGCGACGAUACAUAGCCGACCUGAGAGGGUGAUCGGCCACACUGGGACUGAGACACGGCCCAGACUCCUACGGGAGGCAGCAGUAGGGAAUCUUCGGCAAUGGGGGCAACCCUGACCGAGAAACGCCGCGUGAGGGAAGAAGGUUGUCGGAUCGUAAAGCUCGGUUGUAAGUCAAGAACGAGUGUGAGAGUGGAAAGUUCACACUGUGACGGUAGCUUACCAGAAAGGGACGGCUAACUACGUG